rnacentral:tRNA from 1 species
GUGGGUACAGCUCAGUGGUAGAGUGCGUGCUUAGCAUGCACGAGGUCCUGGGUUCAAUCCUUAGUACCUCCA